rnacentral:rRNA from 1 species
UGAGGAACAUGACCUUCGGCGGGGGAUAGCCGGCCCAACGGCCGGGUAAUACCGCGUACGACCACAUGGGGACAUCCCUGAGUGGUGAAAGCAGCAAUGCGCCGAUGGAGUGCCUCGCGGCCUAUCAGCUAGUUGGUGAGGUAACGGCUCACCAAGGCAACGACGGGUAGCUGGUCUGAGAGGAUGGCCAGCCACAGUUGGGACUGAGACACGGCCCAGACCUGUACGGGAG